UUUACUGUGCUGUUAAACUUUCUUCUUACUAAGAAGCCAAGACUCACGGACAAAUGCUCAGAAGUGUAAACACAAAGUGUUCAAAAUGAACACUUUUCUAGGAUCACUGCCUUUGCUGUUCUUAUUGCUUGGAGGAGGCAAUGGAGAUUCGGUGACCCAGACUGAAGGCCAAGUGACCCUCCCAGAAGGGGCUUCGCUGACUGUGAACUGCUCCUAUGAAAGCACCCAGUACCCUGCCCUCUUCUGGUAUGUCCAGUAUUCUGGGGAAAGUCCACAGCUCCUCCUGAGAGCCACGAAAGCCAACGAGAAGGGAAGCAACAGAGGUUUUGAAGCCUUGUACAACAAAGACAGCAGCUCCUUCCACUUGGAGAAAUCCUCAGUGCAAGAGUCCGACUCAGCCAUGUACUACUGUGCUCUGAUGGCUGGGCGAAAAUGCAUUUUGGAGCAGGGACCCAGGUUGUGGUCACUCCAGAUAUCACAGACCCUCAGCCCGCAGUCUACCAGCUGAGAAGCUCGGACUCAAAAUCCAGCAAACUCUCCAUGUGUCUAUUAACUGAUUUUGAUUCUCAAACCAAUGUGUCACAACGUACAGAAUCCGAAACAGUCUUCACAAGCCACACCGUGCUGAACAUGAAGUCCUUAGAUUCCAAGAGCUACGGUGCCUUGGCCUGGAGCCAAAACAGCAGACUUUCAUGUCAAGAUGCCUUCAGUAAUCACACAUUCGUUUCCUCCUCAGAUGCGUCCUGUGAUGCCAAGUUGGUAGAGAAAAGCUUUGAAACAGACAUGAACCUAAACUUUCAAAACCUGUCAGUGAUCGGGCUGCGCCUCCUCCUCCUGAAGGUGGCUGGAUUUAACCUGCUCAUGACACUGCGGCUGUGGUCCAGCUGAGGUCAGCAAGACUGAGAGCCUCGCUCCCUCCGCAAGCCGAGGGGGGCUCCCCACCACCAUGGAGAGGAAGGCUCCUACCCCUUCUCUGCCCUCCCCUACCUACCAAUGUGCUGGCUGGAUCCUACCAGAUCUGUGAUGAAGACUGUGGACAAGCGGACAAACACCGUGGCCACCCCGCGCUCCCUGUCCCCUUUCUGCUGCUUCUCACUGCCUGAAGCUCACAGCAAGGGUUGGGGUGGCCAAAGCUUCUCCAUGCCUUGAAGAGACUCCUUCCCCUCCCCCAGAGCCCGGCCCUACUGUCCCCGUAGAUGAUGGAACAACCCCCUCCCCUACCCCGACUCCCACCAUACCCUGUGGACUCUCUUGGACUCUGGCUCCUGAAGAAUGUUUGUAUUUUUUUCAAUAGUACUCAUAAAGAAGCAUAUUGAUUUUAUCCAGGAUGGGGGGGGGGGAGGGCUUACUAUCUAGACCCUGCCGUGCUGUAUAAUCUGAGCCACGUUGUCAUUCUGUUGCCUGUAACAUAUUAAAAAUGAUUUAGAAGACCA